GAUAUAUCCCCUUCCAAAAAAAACUAGAAUAUCAGGGUUCGAGUCGUUCGCAUUUAGUUUGUGAGGGAUAUGAAAAAAGACCAACUUCCUUGCUUCUUAGAAAUGGUUCUAAUGGACAGCAAGGUUGUUUAACUCAAUUUUUUGUUUAUAUUUUUAUAUCCACUUUUCUAUUAUGUCUUAUUUUUUGUUUCAAUUUUUUUAUUUGCAAUUAUAGUAGAUCAUUUUUGUUUUUGAUCAAUAAAAAUGAUACCAAUCGAAUUCGUUUAUGAUAUUUCCCAUUCGCAUCAAGAAACUUGGAGUAUCGAUGGUCGAAUCAUGGUUGAUUCAUUUACAUUUUUUUGUUUAUAUUCUUAUACAUGCUUUUCUAUUAUAUUUUUUUAUCCAUCUGUUUUUUCGUUUAUAUUCUUAUAUCUUCAUGAUUCUUUGGACGUCUUUGAUUUAUAAUUUAUUCAUUUACUUUUUCAUGAAAUUUAAAUAUCUAUUUUAGUUUGUUUUCUUCAUUUAUUUUCUAUGUGGACUUAUUGAGCUUAACUUUAUUCUUUUUGUCUUAAUGAUAUAGAUAGAUAUAUUAGUCUUAAAAGAUUAUCCAAAAAAAAACUGUGGGGGAGCUUAUCCAAAAAGAACAGGGGGCUUUGUAUUAGCGGACAUAUACUGGCGGAUAUACUAG
rnacentral:lncRNA from 1 species